AUCCUUGGCACAUUCCUGUAUUCACAGGCAAAGCAGUGAAGGAAUCAAGAAUUCAAAGGUUUUGAUGUAAGCAUUAGAUGACAGAAGAGUUAGAAUGAAGAUUCUAGUUCGGCCGGAAUGAUUGGUGAUGGCUUUUGAUUGAAAAUUUUGGCAAUGGCUUUCAAUUAACAUCACUGGUGAUGGCUUCUGGGCAAUCAAAGGGAAUCAACCUUGCUAAGGCAGUUAACUGCAGUUUCUUUUUCAAGAUCAGAGUGAUAAUCUGUAAUGUACUUAUAAUUGCUGGUGAAGUAGGUUGCAAUUUCCUUUCCUCUGUGUAAUGC
rnacentral:misc_RNA from 1 species